AUUGAACGCUGGCGGCAUGGCUAAAACAUGCAAGUCGAACGCGAAAGGUAGCAAUACCAAGUAGAGUGGCGAAAGGGCGAGUAAUGCAUUCCUACGUGCCCCAAGGUCGGGAAUAGCUCGGGGAAACCCGAAUUAAAACCCGAUAAUGUCUACGGACCAAAGGCUUGCUGCCUUGGGAGCGGGGAAUGUCCUAUCAGGUUGUUGGUGAGGUAACGGCUCACCAAGCCUAAGACGGGUAGCGGGUGNGAGAGCACGGCCCGCCGCAUCGGGACUGAGACACUGCCCGGACUCCUACGGGAGGCUGCAGUAACGAAUCUUCCGCAAUGCGCGAAAGCGUGACGGAGCAAUGCCGCGUGCAGGAUGAAGCCCUUGGGUGUAAACUGCUGUCAGGGUGUAGCAACACAAUGAG
rnacentral:rRNA from 1 species